rnacentral:rRNA from 1 species
GACGAACGCUGGCGGCGUGCUUAACACAUGCAAGUCGAACGGAAAGGCCCUGCUUUUGUGGGGUGCUCGAGUGGCGAACGGGUGAGUAACACGUGAGUAACCUGCCCUUGACUUUGGGAUAACUUCAUGAAACUUGGGCUAAUACCGGAUAGGAGCUCCUGCUGCAUGGUGGGGUUUGGAAAGUUUCGGCGGUUGGGGAUGGACUCGCGGCUUAUCAGCUUGUUGGUGGGGUAGUGGCUUACCAAGGCUUUGACGGGUAGCCGGCCUGAGAGGGCGACCGGCCACAUUGGGACUGAGAUACGGCCCAGACUCCUACGGGAGGCAGCAGUGGGGAAUAUUGCACAAUGGGAGGAAGCCUGAUGCAGAAACGCCGCGUGCGGGAUGACGGCCUUCGGGUUGUAAACCGCUUUCGCCUGUGACGAAGCGUGAGUGACGGUAAUGGGUAAAGAAGCAACGGCUAACUACGUG